rnacentral:rRNA from 1 species
GACGAACGCUGGCGGCGUGCUCAACACAUGCAAGUCGAACGAAGAGCGAUGGAAGCUUGCUUCUAUCAAUCUUAGUGGCGCACGGGUGAGUAACGCGUAAUCAACCUGCCCUUCAGAGGGGGACAACAGUUGGAAACGACUGCUAAUACCGCAUACGAUCUAAUCUCGGCAUCGAGGAUAGAUGAACGGUGGCCUCUACAUGUAAGCUAUCACUGAAGGAGGGGAUUGCGUCUGAUUAGCUAGUUGGUGGGGUAACGGCCCACCAAGGCGAUGAUCAGUAGCCGGUCUGAGAGGAUGAACGGCCACAUUGGGACUGAGACACGGCCCAGACUCCUACGGGAGGCAGCAGUGGGGAAUCUUCCGCAAUGGACGAAAGUCUGACGGAGCAACGCCGCGUGAGUGAUGACGGCCUUCGGGUUGUAAAGCUCUGUUAAUCGGGACGAAAGGCCUUCUUGCGAAUAGUGAGAAGGAUUGACGGUACCGGAAUAGAAAGCCACGGCUAACUACGUG